rnacentral:rRNA from 1 species
UGAGGAAUAUUGGUCAAUGGGCGCAGGCCUGAACCAGCCAAGUCGCGUGAGGGAAGACGGUCCUACGGAUUGUAAACUCCUGUUGUUGAGGAAGAUAAUGACGGUACUCAACAAGGAAGUGACGGCUAACUACGUGCCAGCAGCCGCGGUAAAACGUAGGUCACAAGCGUUGUCCGGAAUUACUGGGUGUAAAGGGAGCACAGGCGGGAGAACAAGUUGGAAGUGAAAUCCAUGGGCUCAACCCAUGAACUGCUUUCAAAACUGUUUUCUUGAGUAGUGCAGAGGUAGGCGGAAUUCCCGGUGUAGCGGUGGAAUGCGUAGAUAUCGGGAGGAACACCAGUGGCGAAGGCGGCCUACUGGGCACCAACUGACGCUGAGGCUCGAAAGUGUGGGUAGCAAACAGGAUUAGAUACCCUGGUAGU